rfam:Angiostrongylus cantonensis strain Taiwan genome assembly, scaffold: ACAC_scaffold0004637
GUUUCCGUAGCGCAGUCAGUAGCGCAUCAAUCUCAUAAUCUGAAGGUCGUGAGUUCGAGCCUCACCAUUAGCA